AUUUACUUGCAGCCUUAAUGUAAGUAACCACUCUUUUCAAGCUAUCACCACCAUUCUCAAAUACCCAAGGUCCUUGUUGCAGCUCUGUUGUUCCUUGCAGGUCUGCUAAAGCUCUGGGAAAAUUCGAAUCAGGUGCAAAGAGAAAGGAAUUAAGUUCUGAGGAUGCAACCACAUACAACUGGUCUAGAAGUACUCCUCCUGGUAAAUUGCUCAGACAUUCAUUUCCUUGAUCUGUCGAUUCCAUUCUUUUCAUUGACUCUUCAAAACUGCAAGAAGAGGAGGAUUGCUCCUCCAGCUUGUUCUCAUAAACCUCAGGUAUGGAAGUUUCAGAUAGCUCUGAUGAGUCAAUGCUUCCAGCAGAGGUGCAGGAUGCCAGAUCCCCAUUUUUAACAAAAAUUUGAGCAAUUCGACCUGCAAUGGUUUUUUGAGCAUUUAACUUCUCUUCCUUGGAGCCAAUAAUAUCUUCCAUUCUCAUCCCAGAAGGCAUUGGAGAAGACGACCUUGAGCUUCCAUUGAAAGACCUUGAAGGAGAUUCAAUUGUAACAUCUGGA
rnacentral:lncRNA from 1 species